CCGAUUCGCCCAUAACUGGUCCCUUCGCAGAUUAGGGUUUCAGUGUCCAUGCCUAUAAAUACCCUCUUCGACGCACAUCUUACUCAUCCGGCCUCGGCCAACAUGCUUCCCCUCUAAAUCCCUCUCUCUCUUUCUCUCUCUCUGAUUUUCUUUUUCUUUGAAAGGUGAAGCUGUGAUGAAGAUCUAGCUGUGUACCGGAGACGGUCUCUAAUGAUUCCGUUGUUGACGGCAACACAACCCUCUAAGAAGUUCUGAGCUUUCCCUUUCACAGUUAUAUCGUACUCCUUUUUUCCUGCUUCUUGGUUUUUUUAAAGCUGAAAUCUUUUGGCUAUAGUGGAACUAGUUAUGGUGGCGAGGUAAAUUGGCGAGGUGAUGAUAGAAAUUCAGAAUAGUCUGUCAAUCCGCUGAACUAUAGUGUGACGACUCCAUGAAUCUCGACAGCGUUUGGUUGGGCAAGUGAUGAAUCUCAUUGUAAUUUAAUGGGUAAUUUGCGUCUGAGAUCUUUCAUUGAUGCUUUAUCACCUUGGAGAACUGAUGCCCUCUUUUAUUUUGGGUGAGAUGCCCUUCAAAUCUAAUACAAAACUUGUUCAGUUGCACAGAGGCACACUGCCUACGUGGUCUGCGAAGUGUACCUAACCCUCUUCUUUUGCAACUACAUUGCGUGCAUUUUGAGGGGUAUGUUACUAAGCAAGAUUUGGAAGUCUUGACGGUAUGUGCAACUGAGUAAGUUCUGGAUUUUCAACUUUUUUGUUUGAUCUGUUUAACAAUUAUCAUUUGUCAGCUACUUUUGAUGUCUAAAGAUGUUAGUGGUCUUGUGCUGUUGAGUGUUGUGGAAAUGAUGAUAUACUUUGCUGGCAUGUUUAAGUCAAGAGGAGUUACUAAAAACAAUAUUGCUUAAUCAAUUGAAUCCCCAUCACGCUACUCUCUUUGAAUGUCUUUAUCAACAGCAUAUGAUAGAUAGCUUAAGAUCGUUGUAGCAGGUUCUAAAGGCUUGAAUGCCUCUACAAUCAGUGUAUCAUGACUUAUGAGAUAGUUAUAGCAUGGUGGUAAAGACAUCUGAGGGCUGAGUGUGAUUUGGAUUCAUUUAUUUUGUAGUGAACUGUUUUGUCACCGUUUGAAUAUGUUGGUUGGUUGGAUGGAUGGUUGGUAUCGACCUGAAGAUCACCUGAAAUUCUGCAUUGAGGCGGUCGAAUUGCAUAGGGUAUUUGUGGGUUUUGUUCUUUUGUCAUUUAUUCCACAUUGUUGGUGAAUUAAUGAGAAGUAAGGCCCAGGGCUUAUAAAAUGAGGAUUACUCUCCUUGGCUAAAUGCAUCAGCUAAUAAUUUUUGACUAGUUAA